UCGGCUCUGGACAUUCGCAGCCGCUCCUUCUCGGAAUCCCAUGUGCAGAAGAUUUUACAUUUGCUCCGGCUUUGCCAUCCAAGAGGAACUUAGCGAGCACUACCCAUUUCUCAGUUUCUAUGAGCGCGCGCAGCGUUUGGAAUCCUCGACAAGUUGGACGAGCUAGCACGCUGCCCAAGGUUGGAGGCACAUCGUGACUUUGUGCUUUGGACCAUUAAACGGUACAAGGAUAUGCAGGCCAAGCAGGCGCCAGCAGCAGCGGCG